CUGCCUAUCAGAGGGGAAUAACAGUGAGAAAUCAUUGCUAAUACCGCAUAUGCCAUAAUUAUCGCAUGAUAAUAGUGGGAAAGGAGCAAUCCGCUGAUAGAUGAGCUUGCGUCUGAUUAGCUAGUUGGUGGGGUAACGGCCUACCAAGGCAACGAUCAGUAGCCGGACUGAGAGGUUGAACGGCCACAUUGGGACUGAGAUACGGCCCAGACUCCUACGGGAGGCAGCAG
rnacentral:rRNA from 1 species